rnacentral:rRNA from 1 species
AUGCUUGAUGCAGGCGGAAACCUACAGAGGAGAUACGGAACGAGGCCUGCUCUUCGGAGAGCACAGGGGGUCGUGCAGGACUUCGAAUCCAAGAAUCCGUCGCAGUCUCCAGCUCUCUCCGACUACGUAAAAGCCCUCGUCACCCUGGAGGUUUCUUUCGCUACCAUUCUCCUUUUUGAUUCAUCCCACCAACACGCAAUUUGUUCCACAACUUGCUUUUUUUUUGCCCGCAGGCAGUUCAAAGACCAGUUGAUCAAGGAGCUUUGGCCUACCCUGCGGACCAUUGCAGCCACCGGCCUUGUGAUCUAUUACGGCAAUGGUCUGGCUGACAGACUGGUUAAGCAGGGCACAUUCGACCGAUUGGAUGACUCGAAUGACGUGUCCAUGAAACCAACCACGAGAUUCAGUCAUGUCAAGGGAGUCGACGAAGCCAAGGCUGAGCUUGAGGACAUUGUUCAGUACCUGAAAAAUCCCAAGUAUUUCACGCGCCUUGGUGGCAAGCUUCCAAAGGGCGUUCUGCUUUCUGGCCCACCAGGCACAGGGAAGACCAUGUCGGCGAGGGCUGUGGCCGGGGAAGCCGGCGUCCCGUUCUUCGCGUGCAGCGGCAGCGAAUUCGACGAGAAGUAUGUGGGUGUUGGGGCUCAAAGAGUGAGAGAGCUCUUCAGUGCAGCAAAAAGGCGAUCCCCUUGCAUAAUAUUCAUUGAUGAGAUCGACGCCAUUGCUGGUAGCUGGAACUCAGACAUUUCAGAGUCGCGGAGCCAGACCCGGAACCAGCUGCUUGUUGAGAUGGAUGGCUUCAAGCAGAAUGACGGGAUCAUUGUUCUCGGGGCGACCAACUUCCCCCAAUUGCUGGAUAAAGCUGCUACUAGACCUGGGCGUUUUGACCGUCAUGUUCAGGUUCCUAGUCCAGAUGUCGAGGGUCGACGACAGAUCCUCAAGGCUUGUAUGGCAAAGGUCAAAGCCAAGGGUGUGAAUCUGAUGACCAUUGCGAGGGGGACACCGGGAUUCUCAGGUGCAGACCUUACAAAUUUGGUGAAUGACGCUGCGCUGAAGGCUGCCAAGGAUAAGGCAGAAGCUGUUACAAUGGAUCACAUUGAAUACGCCAAGGACAAGAUCAUGAUGGGCAGCGAGCGAAAAUCAGCAGUGUUACCUGAUAAUUGCAGGAAGAUGAGUGCGUACCACGAGGGAGGGAGGGCCCUUGUUGCUAUCCACACGGACGGUGCUCGCACCAUCCACAAGGCUACCAUUGUCCCAAGGGGGAACACUCUUGGCAUGGUAACGCAGCUGCCGGAGGAAGAAGAUGUGUACAAAGUCUCAAGGAAGAAGAUGCUGGCCAAAUUGGACAUACUCAUGGGAGGCAGGGUGGCUGAGGAGCUUAUGUUUGGAGAGAGCGAGGUGAGCUCUGGCGCCGUGUCUGAUCUAAGCGAGGCGACUAAACUGGCCAAAGAUAUGGUCACCAAGUAUGGUAUGAGCGAGCUGGUCGGCCUUGUUUCCUACGGCAACGACAAUGAUGGUGGCGGCGGGAAGAAGGCGAAGACUGAACAGGUCGAUGAGGAGGUGAAUCAGCUAUUGGACAAGGCUUACAAGAAUGCGAAAAUGACUCUCACGACGCACAGUAAGGAGCUUCAUGUGCUAGCCAGCGCCCUCCUUGAGCAUGAAACUCUCACUGGAGACCAGAUUUUUACGUUGCUGGUAGACUCAGAGCAGCACAGGCAUUCAUCACACUCGAUAAGACCGCCCCGUCUCCAGGACGUCCUACCGGCCGCCGGCUCCUCUCCAGCGUCACCGUCGCUUAUUCCCAGUAUGGCCCGCCUUGUUGCAGCACCCCGGUUCGCCGUGGCUCUCGCCGGCUCCGCUGCAUGCAGCUCCUGCCGGUGA